UACGUAGGGGGCGAGCGUUGUCCGGAAUGACUGGGCGUAAAGGGCGUGUAGGCGGCUCUUUAAGUCUGGAGUGAAAGUCCUGCAUUCAAUGUGGGAAUUGCUUUGGAUACUGGAGAGCUUGAGUGCGGAAGAGGUAAGUGGAAUUCCCAGUGUAGCGGUGAAAUGCGUAGAGAUUGGGAGGAACACCAGUGGCGAAGGCGACUUACUGGGCCGUAACUGACGCUGAGGCGCGAAAGCGUGGGGAGCGAAC
rnacentral:rRNA from 1 species